CUCAUUUCAUGCUCCAAAAUCUAAAGACUACUUAAUUGUUACAUUUUUGCACACAGGAAGACUGUGCAAACAAGCACACAGAAACCAUUCAUUAACUUUCCAACCUCUACCUUCCUAACAGAACAGUUGUCACAAAGUCUUUUUCAGUAACCCAGCCUAGACCCCCAAAUUGAUUUAUCAAUCAAGGUUAUUGCUUAGUUAUUAACUCUCCCCAAAUGGAUGCCUAGUUCUUAAUUGGACAGGAAUGAAAAAUAAAUAACAGAACCAGCUGCCACCCUGCCCUCCAAGAUUUGAGUUUUACACCCCUGAUUUACAUCAAGCUGAUAGGACAAGCCCCUACUACUGUAACCAGCACGUAUUUGAGCUUUUCCAAGCCACUGUGUAUUUUCAGUCUAAGGCACCCAUGCCUUUGAGCUCAUAUAGCAGGGAGAUAAAGACAAGCUACCUUGAAAUCUGCAGACAGACACAGGCUGACUGGUUAAGGGGGCACAGUGAGAUGCGGUAGUGGAGAUACAAGUUCUAAUGACACUCGACAGUUCUGCCCACUGGCAAUGGGCUGGCCUUUAGAGGCCCACCUUAAAAUAGAUCAGGAAAGAGAGUUUAUGCUUCCCCUGAAGGCCAGGUGGCAUGGUAUGUAUGUGUGGACAAAUGUAAGCUGUACUGACAUAGAGGGGUUAUGUGUUAGUGUGUGUCUGUGUAGAGUAUAUGUCUGUGAGCCUGGAUACUUCUGUAUGUUGUCCUUAUGCUUUAGGAUGCCUUCAAAUAAAAACAUAGUGGGGUGGGGAGAAAUGAUUCUGUAAAACGCUGUUCUACCUUUUCAAUUGGUUGACGGAUACGUCCUUGUAACUUUUCUGAUGAACAGAGCAACACAACAAUAGGCCCUGCCCCAAUUGAAAACAUUGAGUUGUUCCAUUUUUACGCAUCAGUUUGUCUAGUUUGAAGGCACCCUGAGUGCAUGUGAAAGCGUCAGAGAAUUUGUAGAAUUUCGACUGUAGACAAUAGUCUGGUAUCUUCUAUCACCCUAACUGUUGUGGUAUCAGCAGUGUGGGGAUUUCAGUGACACUAGGUAUUCAGUAGUGUUGGGGUAUCAGCAGUGUGGGGAUUUCAGUGACACUAGGUAUUCAGUAGUGUUUGGGUUUCAGCAGUGUGGGGAUUUCAGUGACACUAGGUAUUCAGUAGUGUUGGGGUAUCAGCAGUGUGGGGAUUUCAGUGACACUAGGUAUUCAGUAGUGUUGGGGUAUCAGCAGUGUGGGGAUUUCAGUGACACUAGGUAUUCAGUAGUGUUGGGGUAUCAGCAGUGUGGGGAUUUCAGUGACACUAGGUAUUCAGUAGUGUUGGGGUAUCAGCAGUGUGGGGAUUUCGGCAGUGUUAGGAUUUUAGGAGCGCUGGGAUUUGGGCGCCAGAUGUCCUGCUGCUGACUGUCGUGUGUUGGCUCUGGGAGUGCUGAGGCUGCCUAAGGGAGGUGUGUGUGUCUGUACAUUUCCAUUUCCCUUUAAUUUGAGCAUUUGGAGGUUUUGUACAGUAUGAAAUAUAUGCUUUAUGAAAGGAUGUGUUGGUGAGGUACAGUAAGGGAAAUUAUUGUUUACUUCAGUAAGAUCUGUGAUUCAGCCACUCCCCCGGGCUUGAAGUGGCACGAAGCCAGUAACAGUCAAGGACAGGCAAGUUCAGAGGUCAGGUUGGUAACACCAGGUCAUAUUACUGGACAUGCUAGGUUAACACUUCCCUUCAGGCAGCUUCAAAUAAAAGUCUUAUGAAUUCAGCCAUUUUUUCUGAAUAUAUUUUCCUGCUUCAUACUAUAUGUCUACUGGCAUAAGUAUGACAUUAUCAAUCCUCAGGCAUUAUGUCACUCUUAUGGCAGUGUUAUGUAGGCUCUGUGUACGUCCUCCUCAAGUCAAGUGAAAAAUAACUACUGUCUGUUUAACUGAAGCCAAUAGUUUAAAGGAGGAUGUCCUCACAUGUCUUGUUAUCUGAUUAAUCAGACGGAAGCUCCAGGCUACUGUGUGAGAACGCUGACUAAAUCCUUAAUAGGGGAGCUCAAUGCACCACCAUGCAUUGAGUCACUUCUAACGUUUCUGUACCAUAUCUAUUUGAAAUGUUACGGUUGGAAAAUCUCCACAAUUUGGCCCUUAAUUACCAUUGAAGAAUUUGUAUUUGUUAUUUUAUUUAUUUAACCUUUAUUUAACUAGGCAAGUCAGUUAAGAACAAAUUCUUAUUUACAAUGACGGCCUACCAAAAGGCAAAAGGCCUCAGGCGGGAACGGGGGCUGGGAUUAAAAAUAAAAUUUAGGAUAAAACACACAUCACGACAGAGAGACACCACAACACCACAUAAAUAGACACCUAAGACAACAACAUAGGGUAUCUAGUUGUUACAGCUCAUCACCUAAGACAACAACAUAGGGUAUCUAGUUGUUACAGCUCAUCACCUAAGAC
rnacentral:lncRNA from 1 species